GAGGCGGCCGGGUAGCGGCGGUGCGCGGCCCCGGUGUCCCUCCGCUGGGCAGGGGCCGCGCUGCCCCCGCGGUGGUUCGGUGCCCGCCCUCGCCGGUGCUGUCUGGAUGAGAUCCUCUGCAACCUGCUCCGAGUGACCCUGGUUUAGCAGGGGUUGGACUCGAUGUUCUCCAGAGAUCCCUGCCCACCCCAGCCAUUCCAGCAGGACAGAGUGAGGAGAGAGGGAAAAAAAAAGGCUAAGAAGAGCAGCAACUUCCAGCCUUUAUAGUGUCACUUUAGAAAUCUAGAAGUAUGGCUGCAGCUUAGGCAGAGCUGGCUCAGGUGCUGAGCAAUUCUUCCAGCUUGAGCACAGAUGUAUCCUUAGUCUACUGCCUUUGUUACUGUGGAGCAUUCGCCAUGCGGAAAUUGGAAAACCUGUUGCCUGAACCAUUUAAAACAGUCCGAAAACACUAGACAAAGGGGUAUAAAGCACACGCUUUUGCUGGCCUUUAGAAUUCUCUAGGAAUUAUUGGACAUUAUGGAUUUUAUGUCACAGUGCAUUCCUUAGUAAGAUUAUAUUGAAGUAUUGGGUAAAACUUCCACAUGGUGUCUUUCUUCCCCAGUAAACAUGACUUGUUGUGUGAACUGGUAAAAUGGCAUUUACAGUUUAAAAAAAUGAACAUGACCCAAAAUUAUCUUGCACAGGAUGUGAUUUCAUAUCACAUACAAUGGAUAACUAUGGUGCACACUUUUUUAAGUUAUUAAAUAAUGUGUGGGUAUAAUGAGGAAAUCUGUGGACCGCUCCCAGUUUGUCUCCACUUUUGUCUGUGCCCAUGAUGUGAUUUGCAGAAGAAACUUAUGCACAGGUUAUUGUUACAUGUGCAUUUGUUGCUAUUUUUAUUGUGGGUCAGUGGGGUCUCAUUCAUUGAAGCUGAAGCUUUUGUGGACUGGCAAUGGACUGACGUGGACUGAUAGCAGAGUUAAUACUUUGUACUGGAUAAAUCUGUAUGCAAUGCAGGUUCAGAUACAAGACAGCUCCAUCUCUUAGGAACUUGCUCCUGCUGCCUUCCUUCUCACCAGCAGAGGUCCAGCUAACAUACCAAUUUCAAAACUGGAACAAGGGUAAAUCUCUUGCUGUCAGCAUAUGAACAAGUUUUCAAGACUGGCUAUGUCUCACAGGAAACUCGAGAGGGCGAACCCCCUGCGAGGGAAGCUCCAUCCCGCCGCCACCGCAGCUCCGGCAUGCCCGGACUUGUCCCGCCCAGCUGCGACAUCCAGCUCGCCUAAAGCGUCCCUGGGGGGAAGCACCGCAGCUGCCGCCGUUCGCUUCAGCAGCAGGGCCAACAAGCCAAGGCACGUCCCGUCCUCAAUAUCGGUAAUACCAAUAGAUGUGACUUCCCUACCAUACCUGAACAGUGGGACUGAUCUGACUGCGUUAGAAACUGAAGAUGAGAAACAGUCAGUAAUGACUGGAGAGGAGCCAUCAGCAGAUGGCUGUACCACAUCACAAGAACUAAGGGCUUUGUGUUAUGCUGAGCCUGCUACAGCAGGGUGUAUAAGCAGCUCAUUGAAGACAAUAUGAGUUUUGUAUGCCUACAA